UUCAGUUUGUCUUGUUUGGACUUGAAUGCAACCGAAUCGAACCAGUUGUUGUUGAUGUUGGGCUUCGGAAGGAUUUUGACCGGUUGAUAGAUAUUCAGAAUUCUGUCUUCGUGGCGGUGGAGGAGGAGGACGAGACGCAUGAAUCCGGCGGGCCAGGUCUUCGUGGCGGAAGACAGGACCGGGAGGAACCGAGCUUAUGGAGGAUAUGGUUCAUUCCAAAGGAGGAGGAGGAUGAAUCACCGAAUGUCAAAAGUUCUACCCAAGGUAAGAGAAAAAGGGGUACAGAAUAAUCAUCUCGUGGCGGUGUUUCUGAUCCACCGGAUUUUUUAAUCAAUAGAACUGUUUCUUCAAGUCAUUGAAAUGAUGGAAGAGGCGCAUUUCAAAGUAUCGGGAGUGAGCUUGGAAGACCGGAAGUAUGAGGGCUAAUAUUGGGUGUUAUGAUUAUUGGACUUCAGAAUUGUAUAAUAAAAAACUCUAACAUUUGACUAAUCAAAAAUUAACUCCUUAAGGAAAUUUUUAGUAUCUCUGAUUUAACCCUUUGAGGCCCAGAACUUUUUAUACAGUUUUUAUUACCUAAAAAGUAGUUAACAUUGAAAAAACGGAUUUUUGGAAUGGUGUAACCAAACAUAUUCCAAUCUGAUCCUGCUAACAACCCAGCGUCUCCGUGUUGUUCCACGCAGCUUGUUGACCGGAAGCUGUAACGACCGCAAAAACACCUGCUCCAGAAGUUCGUAAACCGACGUUGUCCCGUACUCCGGUGGCCAUCAAUCCAUGGGACAUAAACGGUGGCGCCGCACCCCGCCGUAUUUGCGGCUAGUCGAGGAGCAAUAGUCCUUCUUGAUCAAGAUGCUGCCCCGCACGCUGGCGUCGGCUCGAAAAGAUGGCUGACAAAAUCCGGACCCAGAAGACAACGCCAAAAAAUUCCGGCCAAGAUGCCGAGCGACGAGGAGAACUGGAAGACCAACCGGAAGACGACACCAAGAUGUACGUGAAGAUCCGCGACACAACAAGUAUAAUGAAAUAAUUAAUUUUUUACUGUGGGGAAAUGUGCAAAUUACAUGAAAAAAUAAAAUAAAUUAAAAAUAAACAAUCAUCUAUUUUUUAACUGCAACAUAACCUAAAAACCUGAAAAAACA